rnacentral:rRNA from 1 species
CAGUCGAGCGAAGCGCUCACGCGGAAUUUUUCGGAAGGAAGCGGGAGUGACUUAUCGGCGGACGGGUGAGUAACGCGUGGGUAACCUGCCCCAUACCGGGGGAUAACGGUUAGAAAUGACCGCUAAUACCGCUUAAGCGCACGAGGCCGCAUGGCCGCGCGCGAAAAACUCCGGUGGUAUGGGAUGGGCCCGCGUCUGAUUAGGUAGUUGGCGGGGUAAGGGCCCACCAAGCCGACGAUCAGUAGCCGACCUGAGAGGGUGGCCGGCCACAUUGGGACUGAGACACGGCCCAAACUCCUACGGGAGGCAGCAGUGGGGAAUAUUGCGCAAUGGGGGAAACCCUGACGCAGCAACGCCGCGUGAGUGAAGAAGUAUCUCGGUAUGUAAAGCUCUAUCAGCGGGGAAGAAGGAAGACGGUACCCGACUAAGAAGCCCCGGCUAACUACGUGCCAGCAGCCGCGGUAAUACGUAGGGGGCGAGCGUUAUCCGGAUUUACUGGGUGUAAAGGGAGCGUAGACGGCGGCGCAAGUCUGAAGUGAAAGCCCGUGGCUCAACCGCGGAACCGCUUUGGAAACUGCGUGGCUAGAGUGCUGGAGAGGUAAGCGGAAUUCCUGGUGUAGCGGUGAAAUGCGUAGAUAUCAGGAGGAACACCGGUGGCGAAGGCGGCUUACUGGACAGUGACUGACGUUGAGGCUCGAAAGCGUGGGGAGCGAACAGGAUUAGAUACCCUGGUAGUCCACGCGGUAAACGAUGAGUGCUAGGUGUCGGGGGGCAAAGCCCCUCGGUGCCGCCGCUAACGCAAUAAGCACUC